AAUUGUUUUGUCUUAUAUUUAUUUAUUUAUGUUCGAGGAAAAUUGGGUGGCUGAAUUUUUUCAGCAUAAUCAGUUGAACAUCCUUUCCUGGUGCACAAACAAAAAUAUUAGGAAACUUCUUUUGCAAAAUCAAUCACAUUAUGUCAAUAGUGUGACUUAGAUUUAUAUAAACAAUGUACUACUGGUUCUGGGCAGGGGUUAUAUCAGUUAUUGCUGUUUAAAACAGUGUAAACUGAUACAUGUAUUCUGUUUAAAUAGGUGAGAUGUAAGUUUUUGUAUUACUCAACAUUCUGAUUGUUCAUUUCUAUUUAUGUGGAGCCUUGGUUUGGUC
rnacentral:lncRNA from 1 species